rnacentral:rRNA from 1 species
UACGUAGGGGGCAAGCGUUGUCCGGAUUUAUUGGGCGUAAAGAGCGUGUAGGCGGCCAGGUAGGUCCGUUGUGAAAACUCGAGGCUCAACCUCGAGACGCCGAUGGAAACCAUCUGGCUAGAGUCCGGGAGGGGAGAGUGGAAUUCCCGGUGUAGCGGUGAAAUGCGCAGAUAUCGGGAAGAACACCCGUGGCUAAGGCGGCUCACUGGUCCGGUUCUGACGCUGAGGCGCGAAAGCGUGGGGAGCAAACAGG